CCCAAAUCCCCUCGCCCCGUUCCCCCUCUUUCCCCCAUCUCCCAGCCCAGCCGAGCAGAGGGAUCCUGUACACAACUUUUUCAAACUGCCAGGCAGAAGAAUCCCAGCCUUUCCAAGGGAGUGUCGGUAAAUCAUCAGUACAUCCGACAACGCAGCCAGCGGGAUUAACCCUUUGCGGGUUCCCAGGAAAAUAACAACAACAACAACAAAACCACCACCAACAAGGCGUUUAACCAUGAAAACAGUAAAAUUCGGUCCCAGCUGUGGGAGAAGGGGGACGGGCAGGGUGUGUGCCGGGAUCUUUUCAUACACGGAUGGAGAGGGAGCAGCGUUUUGUGUCAGCACACGAAGAGCUGCCACCGCGCACCUCCGGCGUGCCUCAGCCCUCCGGGCUCUCCCUCCUCCCGCAGCACCGCGCCAGAGCCAGAUGUGCCUCCCACCCCCCAAGGAUCUCUCCUCUGGACUUAGAGAGAAGAGGAAAAGGCAGAUUUUGAGAAAUGAAAAUUAUUUAAGGAUGUCCUUACUGCCUCUCUCUGCUGCCCUCCUCUGUAAUAGCGAAGCAUUUACGAGAUAUACAAAAUAAAUAAAUAAUUUGAGGGGAAAAAAAAAGAAAAAAAAAAAAAGGAAAAAAGAAACCCUUGGCCAGAACUGCAGGAAAAGAAUUGAAGACCCUGUCCAGGCUCCAGGGAGAAAAGCACAGGUCUUUCUUUGGGGAGGCUGCUGGUGGAAAUUGCAGCCCCCUGCACUCACCUGUCCAGGGCUGGGAGCCCUAAACUGGCCUGGAGCCACCUUAUAAAGUACCUGGCGUGGCUUUUCCCUUGGGAUCAGCGCUUGCUGCAGGCAGCUGGGAGCCUGUGGAUGGGACUCAGGCUUGGAGGGGAGAAGUCCCCCAUGGCCCUGUUCCCCUCCUUGAGCUGCUCUGCUUCCCCAGGGCACCUCCAGAGCCCCUCUUGUCCCAGCACCAAGGGAUGGAAUCUACAUCCCAGAAGGCAGGAGCGGGGCAGCGAGUUUCCCUGUGCGAGGUCCAUCAGAACAAGUUGGAUCCCAAGUCCUCUUGGCCAGCUCUGGCAGGAGAGGGGACUUCCACACGUGGAUAAAACCUUCAUCCCUGCUUCCCCUCCUCAUCCAAAGUCCCACCCAGCCAGCCGUGGAGCUCCAGCGUGACCGACAGGUCCCCGCCGUCCACAGCAGCUCCACGGGAUUCCCUGAGGCAGGUGAGGGCAGCGGUGCCACCUCGUCCCUGCACCCCUGGAUGCCCCUGCCCUGCUCCCUCCCCCUGCCAGCACCUCUGCCUCGGGCACUUACUCUGCAGCGAGCUGAGAGGCUGAGCAGCAUCUCCGUGCAGCCCCAUGGCCGUGGGCAUUCAUUUGUCCCAGCAGCUCAGGGCAAUUGCUACUUCUUAAAAAAUAAUAACAAUUUUUAAAAAUUAAAAAAAAAAGGGAGAAAAAAAAAAAAAGACAACUCAAACAAAGACCCUUCCUCCCUCCUUCCCCUUCAAGGUGCUUCCUGCUCUGCGAGCCCGGGAGAGGUGGCCGGGGUGAGGGGCCCGGAGGCAGCCGGGGCUCUCUGGGGUCCCCCCAAAU
ensembl:lncRNA